rnacentral:misc_RNA from 1 species
CGUACCCUUCCCCGCAUUCGCCUUCUUGUUUCUUCCAUCCCACCCGUAUCAGCCACCGGUUCCCAAUGCCCAGGUAGGCAGCCCAGCACUGUGUGGUCGUCUGAUCCGCGGCGGCGCGCCCGUCGUUACCUACGCGAAUGGCUCCUCCAGCAGGGGCAGGGACGGAGGGGAGGCCGGCGCAGCGGCGCGGCACCGGAACCAGCCCCGGCCGCACCAAGGUGUGGGUCGAGCCACCGGGCAAGAGCCGCGACCACCACCAGCCACCUCGUGCCGCCGCCCGUCCUCCACUGCCCCUAUGGCUGCCACGGGCGAGCGCUGCCCGAGCAGCCGACCACCCUUUCCCCACCGUCUUCAGCUGCCGCGCGCUGCCCCGCCUCCCCGCCAGGCCUCCACUGCCCACUUCUCCGGCGGCUACAGCGGAAGUCAAGGAGAAGGACAGCGGGCAGCGGUAGCUGGAUCUGGCAAGCACAGGGCCGUGCCCCCGGCGGCGCCCGGAUCCGCGUUGCUUGCAACCCCCCCACCCCAGUAGACCUAAUUUAGAAUGUUGUGCAUCAGCGAGUGUUCAUGUUGAUUCUAGGGUUACAUAAUUCAUUUUACUAGAGAUGGC